CUACGGGGUGCUGCAGUGGGGAAUAUUGGACAAUGGGCGCAAGCCUGAUCCAGCAAUGCCGCGUGAGUGAUGAAGGCCUUAGGGUUGUAAAGCUCUUUUACCCGGGAUGAUAAUGACAGUACCGGGAGAAUAAGCUCCGGCUAACUCCGUGCCAGCAGCCGCGGUAAUACGGAGGGAGCUAGCGUUGUUCGGAAUUACUGGGCGUAAAGCGCGCGUAGGCGGCUGCUCAAGUCAGAGGUGAAAGCCCGGGGCUCAACCCCGGAACUGCCUUUGAAACUAGGUAGCUAGAAUCUUGGAGAGGUCAGUGGAAUUCCGAGUGUAGAGGUGAAAUUCGUAGAUAUUCGGAAGAACACCAGUGGCGAAGGCGACUGACUGGACAAGUAUUGACGCUGAGGUGCGAAAGCGUGGGGAGCAAACAGGAUUAGAUACCCGAGUAGUC
rnacentral:rRNA from 1 species